rnacentral:rRNA from 1 species
UACGUAGGGUGCGAGCGUUGUCCGGAAUUACUGGGCGUAAAGAGCUCGUAGGUGGUUUGUCGCGUUGUUCGUGAAAACUCACAGCUUAACUGUGGGCGUGCGGGCGAUACGGGCAGACUGGAGUACUGCAGGGGAGACUGGAAUUCCUGGUGUAGCGGUGGAAUGCGCAGAUAUCAGGAGGAACACCGGUGGCGAAGGCGGUUCUCUGGGCAUGAUCUGACGCUGAGGAGCGAAAGUGUGGGGAGCGAACAGG